UUUCUCUACACGACGUUCAUUCCGAAGACAGCAGAAAACUUCCGUGCUCUGAGCACUGGAGAGAAAGGAUUUGG